CCUACGGGGGGCUGCAGUGGGGAAUAUUGCACAAUGGGCGCAAGCCUGAUGCAGCCAUGCCGCGUGUGUGAAGAAGGCCUUCGGGUUGUAAAGCACUUUCAGCGGGGAGGAAGGCGGUGAGGUUAAUAACCUCAUCGAUUGACGUUACCCGCAGAAGAAGCACCGGCUAACUCCGUGCCAGCAGCCGCGGUAAUACGGAAGGCGCAAGCGUUAAUCGGAACUACUGGGCGUAAAGCGCACGCAGGCGGUCUGUCAAGUCGGAUGUGAAAUCCCCGGGCUCAACCUGGGAACUGCAUUCGAAACUGGCAGGCUAGAGUCUUGUAGAGGGGGGUAGAAUUCCAGGUGUAGCGGUGAAAUGCGUAGAGAUCUGGAGGAAUACCGGUGGCGAAGGCGGCCCCCUGGACAAAGACUGACGCUCAGGUGCGAAAGCGUGGGGAGCAAACAGGAUUAGAUACCCUAGUAGUC
rnacentral:rRNA from 1 species